AUCCCUUGACAUCCUGCGAACUUUCUAGAGAUAGAUUGGUGCCUGCUUGCAGGAGCUUUCAUACAGGUGCUGCACGGCUGUCGUCAGCUCGUGUCGUGAGAUGUUGGGUUAAGUCCCGCAACGAGCGCAACCCUCGUCGUUAGUUGCUAACAGUUCGGCUGAGAACUCUAACGAGACUGCCUACGCAAGUAGGAGGAAGGUGAGGACGACGUCAAGUCAUCAUGGCCCUUACGACCAGAGCUACACACGUGCUACAAUGGGGUAUACAAAGAGCAGCAAUACGGUGACGUGGAGCGAAUCUCAAAAAUGCCUCCCAGUUCGGAUUGUAGUCUGCAUCUCGACUACAUGAAGUUGGAAUCGCUAGUAAUCGUAGAUCAGCUAUGCUACGGUGAAUACGUUCCCGGGUCU
rnacentral:rRNA from 1 species